CAAUAGCGUAUAUUAAAGUUGUUGCGGUUAAAAAGCUCGUAGUUGGAUUUCUGCUGAGGACGACCGGUCCGCCCUUCGGGUGAGUAUCUGGUUUGGCCUUGGCAUCUUCUUGGUGAACGUAUCUGCACUUGACUGUGUGGUGCGGUACCCAGGACUUUUACUUUGAGGAAAUUAGAGUGUUUCAAGCAGGCAUACGCCUUGAAUACAUUAGCAUGGAAUAAUAAGAUAGGACCUCGGUUCUAUUUUGUUGGUUUCUAGAGCUGAGGUAAUGAUUAAUAGGGAUAGUUGGGGGCAUUCGUAUUUAACUGUCAGAGGUGAAAUUCUUGGAUUUGUUAAAGACGGACUGCUGCGAAAGCAUUUGCCAAGGAUGUUUUCAUUGA
rnacentral:rRNA from 1 species